CCCAAUUGACAUGGACUCAAGAAUGGAAGGCUAACGGAUCAAGGGUAAAUAAAGAAGCUAUGCACAACUCGGACGCACGAUGUAUUGCACGUAUCUCUACCACUACUAUCGAAGAUAAGCAUGCAUUGAUCGAGCCCCAAAUUAAAGAUUGUACGGGAAGAACGGCCACAUAGUCUGAUUUAUGUAUUGUCUUGAAGCGUUACUUUAAUGUGGUUAUUGUUAAUCCCUUUUUUGUA
rnacentral:lncRNA from 1 species